rfam:Schistosoma haematobium scaffold491_8, whole genome shotgun sequence.
GUCUAGCUGACGAGUUCCAAACAGGACGAAACGCGCGUCCUGGAU